rnacentral:rRNA from 1 species
UCGCACGAGAAAGUGGAGCAAUCCAUGAGUACAGUGGCGUACGGGUGAGUAACACGUGGAUCAUCUACCCUUUAGUGGGGAAUAACCCUGGGAAACCGGGGCUAAUACCGCAUAAGCCUGGAAAGGGAAAGCAGCAAUGCGCUGAAGGAGGAGUCCGCGGCCGAUUAGCUAGUUGGUAGGGUAAUGGCCUACCAAGGCAAUGAUCGGUAGCCGGCCUGAGAGGGCACACGGCCACACUGGCACUGAAACACGGGCCAGACUCCUACGGGAGGCAGCAGUGGGGAAUCUUGCACAAUGGGGGAAACCCUGAUGCAGCGACGCCGCGUGAGCGAUGAAGCCCUUCGGGGUGUAAAGCUCUUUCGGCAGGAACGAUAAUGACGGUACCUGAAGAAGAAGCUGCGGCUAACUACGUGCCAGCAGCCGCGGUAAUACGUAGGCAGCAAGCGUUGUUCGGAGUUACUGGGCGUAAAGAGUGUGUAGGCUGUUCUCUAAGUUUGGUGUGAAAUCUCCCGGCUUAACUGGGAGGGUGCGCCGAAAACUGGAGGGCUUGAGUAUGGGAGAGGAAAGCGGAAUUCCUGGUGUAGCGGUGAAAUGCGUAGAUAUCAGGAGGAACACCUGCGGUGUAGACGGCUUUCUGGACCAUCACUGACGCUGAGACACGAAAGCGUGGGGAGCAAACAGGAUUAGAUACCCUGGUAGUCCACGCCCUAAACGAUGCAUACUUGGUGUGAGCCGUUCAUUCGGUUCGUGCCGGAGCUAACGCGUUAAGUAUGCCGCCUG